rnacentral:lncRNA from 1 species
CUCGUUUAUAGACUGAAGGGAAAGUACAGAAGUGAGUGAGACUGAAAACACAGACUCAAAAUGAAAUCACCGAUGAAGCAGGGUGGCUAAAGAGGAGAGGAAGUAAACCUCAGUGCAGACUGAAAAAGGCAGAACAAUAGCAACAACAAGAAUUCUCUGUGCCUGGCAACAACUGAGGCACUCCAUCUCUUCCAAGAUACUAUGCACCUGAAUGAAGAGAAGAAGCCACGUAAGGACACAAUGAGAAGGCAGCUGUCUACAAGCCAGGAUGAGAUGCCUCACCAGAGACCAACCCUGAUGAAACCAUGAUCUUGGAUUUCUAGUUUCCGAAACUGUGACAAAAUAAAUUUUCAAUCUUAAGUCACACAGUAUUGGGUGUUUUGUUAUGGCAGCACAAGCAGACUAAUACAAGCAUGGAAUUUUAAGAGAGAUAACUAGAGUUAGAAAUACCAUUUGAGGUCAUGGAGGGAUUACAUAUGGCCUGCAUGAGGAUGAAACUCCACACUUUGGGCUCAUUAGCACCAUACUGUAGUUAGUAAAACCCAUAAUUAUUUGACACUCUGCAAGAUUUUUUAUUUACAGACAUUAUUUGAUGCAAUCCUAUUAAUAAUUUUAAUAGGUAUGUAUUCUUUUUUACUUUUUUAUUUUUUGGUGAGGAAGAUCAGUCCUGAGCUAACAUCUGUUGCCAAUCUUGCUCUUUUUCUUGAGGAAGAUUGUCCCUGUGCCAAUCUUCCUCUGUUUUUUGUCUGUGGGAUGCCACCACAGCAUGGCCUGAUGAGUGGUGUGUAGGUCCAUGCCUGGGAUCCAACCUCACGAACCCCCGGUUGCUGAAGCUGAGGGCACAAACUUAACUGCUACACCACCAGGCCAACACUGAGGUGUAUAUUCUUAACCUAUUCAAAGACUAAGCCUUCGAAGGAAAGGUAAAGUAACUUGGUCAUGUUUCACUGGUAAUAAAUCAAAGAGUAUGAUUUUAAAUCAAAGUCUCCAUGACCCUAUAACCCCAAUGCUCAACCACUCUAGACCCUUUGUAACUCUGUUAACCAACCAGAGAUCACAGCCACUCUAAUGUAAUAAAAGUAGUUCCCCAAACCUGUAUUGAAGACCAGGUUCAUCUGGAGAGAUUUUUAAAAUUACAAUUUCCAGGUCCUAUAAAAGCAGAUUUUUAAUUUAGUAGCUCC